GACAAUGGGAAUCUAUGCUAAUUUUCAUUUCCACAUCUUCAUUAGAGUUGGGAUUUCUGCCGGAAGAUUCUUUGUCCUUGUGGAUUGUAAGGAAUAGCUAUGCUAGAUGAAGUGAUAAAGCAAUGAGAGUUCUGAGAGUUUCUAUUUACAUGUGACCAUAUUCCUUGUAAUUUGUCCGAUAUACUAUAAUUGGGUCUGUACAUUUGUGCUGGGGAUACUAAAUAAGUGAUUUAAUUGGUCACUCCAUUUUCAUCGUUCCGUAAAUAGAGUUGUAUCUUCUGAAAUAGUGUUAUUUAUCUUCUCCCGUGGAUGUAAAACAUCACUGCCAAAGCACGUGAAUUCAUGUCUCUUCUCACUCUCUGAUUUCAUAUUUGUGAUAUGGGUUCCAUAUUUCACAAAUUUGUAUAGUCGUCUUGUAUAACAGAGUAAAAAUGUGAUUUUUGCAAAAGCCUGAGUGUGAGGCAAUUACCUUCCAUGAAGAGUCUGUGUGAAACUCUUGAUUAAUUGCAGACAAUGUAAAGAUCCAAACAGCCCAUUUCCAUCGACGCACUAGAGUCUCUGAGUGCCCAAGCAUUGAAUCAAAUUUUAGAUUGAGUGGAUAAUUGUGGGUUUUAUAUGGAAAAAAGCCGGAUGAAUAAGAUGACUACACCUUCUUUUAACCGGUUGUUUUGUUGUGGACUAAGGGACAGUAUCAUACACUAAUCAUCAUUUGGCAGCAUUAUCAGGCAUUGACUCCAAAUUUGGUGGCUUGUGGUUUGAUCUCUUCAAUGAUUCCUGCAACAUAAGUUGAAACCCUGUUUCUCAAUCUGCAGCUGGGUAACCAGUAAGAGAAGCGACAUCCAUUUUGCCACAAGAUACUAGUCCAGGACAACAGUUUGUUGGAGUGCUAAGGAUCCAAGUUCAAUGCAGAUUUCAUGAAUUUGAAGGGGAUCCAAUUCUCCUUUGGAACUGCAAAGAAGCAUGGAGCAAGUUGCAGUUGGAGUUGCUUUAGUCAUUGCAUUCUCUACUCUCAUGACCACGGGACCAACUAGUAAAUGGGACAGUAGGGGUCAUCAGUGAAGUGUUGCCAUUUAUCGGUGACUCUAAUCUGACACUGGCGGUAGAUCAACCCCACUCCGUUGAGCUCCUUAUCCUCAUGGAAACACUGUCAUCAGUAGACUUUCAGGCUGCUAUUCCGAUGGACAGUCCUCAUCGACGUCAAGUUUCAUGAUGAGAAGUUGGGAUUGCAAGACUUGAUUGCCACAAUUCAGCCAGUUGCGCUAUCUCUUAGUCUUUGGACAUACAGCUAUUCCAGUUUGAAGAGUUCAAGGAGAGCACCAUAGAGCUAUACAACCAAGAAACUUAUUAGAGUCAGCAUAUAAAACAACAGUAUAAGAUUGCAGCACGCGAAGACUAACUUCUCCCAUCAUCUUUUGUUAGUUUAAGCGAUAGAAUGGAAACUAGAAGCCCAUCCCAGUCGGAAUUGAUGGGUACUUCCUCUAGUUUUUCGCAACUAUGUCGAUGCUGAAAAUACUCAAUAUAGUGGAGGAAACUUUGUGAUUGUAUUGAACAUGAAAAUGCUUAAGAAUUAUACCAUGCUAGUUGCAGAUCAAAGUUGAAUUAUCUGUUUUUGUAAGCAUUUGGAUGGAUACCAAAGAUCGAAUCGAUCUAAUUUUUUGUAUGGCUUAAUAAAUGAAUGGCUCAAAUCAUUAGAUGGGAUCGUCGUGAGUCUUUUUAUGCUUUAGUGAGACACCACGUGAGGAAUUUCACAUAAGAGAAUCUUGAUUGGUGCGUUGCAUUUUUUAUUUUUUUUUGGAAAGUUAAAAAAAGAAAACAGAAAAAAGAUGCUUCUUAAAGUUAUUUGUGCCUCACAAUCUAGAACAGCAGAUGCAACUAACAAGCUAAAAUAGCUAGGUAUUCUCUCCUAAACGAAAUAAGUACAGGGUUGCUUACGCUUGACCAG